GACGAACGCUGGCGGCGUGCUUAACACAUGCAAGUCGAACGGAAAGGCCCCCACCUUGGUGGGGGUGCUCGAGUGGCGAACGGGUGAGUAACACGUGGGUGAUCUGCCCUGUACUUCGGGAUAAGCUUGGGAAACUGGGUCUAAUACCGGAUAGGACCAUGGUUUAGUGUCUCAUGGUGGAAAAAUUAUUGUUUUGGUGCAGGAUGAGCUCGCGGCCUAUCAGCUUGUUGGUGGGGUAAUGGCCUACCAAGGCGUCGACGGGUAGCCGGCCUGAGAGGGUGGACGGCCACAUUGGGACUGAGAUACGGCCCAGACUCCUACGGGAGGCAGCAGUGGGGAAUAGUGCACAAUGGGCGCAAGCCUGAUGCAGCGACGCCGCGUGGGGGAUGACGGCCUUCGGGUGGUAAACUCCUUUCGUUAGGGACGAAGCCACACCUUUUUUGGGUGUGGUGACGGUACCUUUGUUAAGAAGCACCGGCUAACUACGUG
rnacentral:rRNA from 1 species